AUACGUAGGGUGCAAGCGUUAAUCGGAAUUACUGGGCGUAAAGCGUGCGCAGGCGGUUAUGUAGGACAGAGGUGAAAUCCCCGGGCUCAACCUGGGAACUGCCUUUUUGACUGCAUAGCUAGAGUACGGUAGAGGGGGAUGGAAUUCCGCGUGUAGCAGGGGAAUGCGUAGAUAUGCGGAGGAACACCGAUGGCGAAGGCAAGCCACUGGACCUGUACUGAAGCUCAUGCACGAAAGCGUGGGGAGCAAACAGGAUUAGAUUCCCUGGUAGUCCACGCCCUAAACGAUGUCAACUGGUUGUUGGGUCUUCACUGACGCAGUAACGAAGCUAACGCGUGAAGUUGACCGCCUGGGGAGUACGGCCGCAAGGUUGAAACUCAAAUGAAUUGGCGGGG
rnacentral:rRNA from 1 species